rnacentral:rRNA from 1 species
UACGGGGGGGGGCAAGCGUUGUUCGGAAUUACUGGGCGUAAAGGGCGCGUAGGCGGUUUGCUAAGUCGAAUGUGAAAACUCUGGGCUUAACCCAGAGCCUGCAUUCGAUACUGGCACGCUCGAGUUCGGGAGAGGAUGGUGGAAUUCCCAGUGUAGAGGUGAAAUUCGUAGAUAUUGGGAAGAACACCGAUGGCGAAGGCAGCCAUCUGGACCGACACUGACGCUGAGGCGCGAAAGCGUGGGGAGCAAACAGG